rnacentral:rRNA from 1 species
GACGAACGCUGGCGGCGUGCUUAACACAUGCAAGUCGUACGGUAAGGCCCUUUCGGGGGUACACGAGUGGCGAACGGGUGAGUAACACGUGCGUAACCUGCCCACAACUUUGGGAUAACGCUAGGAAACUGGUGCUAAUACUGGAUAUGUGCUCCUGCUUCAUGGUGGGGGUUGGAAAGCUCCGGCGGUUGUGGAUGGACUCGCGGCCUAUCAGCUUGUUGGUGGGGUAGUGGCCUACCAAGGCGGCGACGGGUAGCCGGCCUGAGAGGGUGACCGGCCACAUUGGGACUGAGAUACGGCCCAGACUCCUACGGGAGGCAGCAGUGGGGAAUAUUGCACAAUGGGCGCAAGCCUGAUGCAGCAACGCCGCGUGCGGGAUGACGGCCUUCGGGUUGUAAACCGCUUUCAGCAGGGACGAAGCUUUUUGUGACGGUACCUGCAGAAGAAGCACCGGCUAACUACGUG